rnacentral:snRNA from 1 species
AAUUUUGGCUGAAUCAGCUUCAG